AGGGGCUGGAUUUGGAUUUGAAUUUGGAUUUGGAUUUGGAGGACACAGGAGUUGGAUUUGAAGGACACAGGGGUUGGAUGUGGGGACCCAAGGACUGGAUUAUUUGGAGGACCAAGGGUUUGGAUUUGGAGGAACCCAGGGGUUGGAUUUGAAGAACACAG
rnacentral:lncRNA from 1 species